GUAGUCCCAUUCAACUUUUCCCUUCGUUCUUUUAGGAAACAAAGUCAGGCUCAUUGCUAAGAUGAAGUUCACCUCUGCCACCUUGCUCCUUGCAGUACUAGCAGCGUUCUUCGCCGUGAUGACUGCAGCACAGGAGAGAACCGAUAAAUCGGCCAGCAAAUGCCAAAUUGGCAGCGGAUGCCCAGACCCCAUCGCCUGCACCAAAAGCUGCAAGGACAAGGGUGUCGCAAUAGGCCUAUGCGUUGACCUACUGCAGCUGAAAGGCUGUCUGUGCCUACUCUAAAUGUGGCUGAAGUCCUCGAAUCUCUGGCAAGACCUCGCUACACGUUGGCUCAAUAAAUGCAUCCCGUCUUACAU
rnacentral:lncRNA from 1 species